rnacentral:rRNA from 1 species
GACGAACGCUGGAGGCGUGCUUAACACAUGCAAGUCGAACGAUGAAAUGGAGCUUGCUCCAUGGAUUAGUGGCGAACGGGUGAGUAACACGUGAAUAACCUGCCCUUAAUUUUGGAAUAACCCAGGGAAACCUGGGCUAAUACCGGAUAAGUAAACCUGUGGCAUCACAUGGUUUUGGAAAGUUUUUCGAUUAAGGAUGGAUUCGCGGCCUAUCAGCUUGUUGGUGAGGUAAUGGCUCACCAAGGCGACGACGGGUAGCCGGCCUGAGAGGGUGAACGGCCACACUGGGACUGAGACACGGCCCAGACUCCUACGGGAGGCAGCAGUGGGGAAUAUUGCGCAAUGGACGAAAGUCUGACGCAGCGACGCCUCGUGAGGGACGAAGGUCUUCGGAUUGUAAACCUCUUUCAGCGGGGACGAAGCGAAAGUGACGGUACCUGCAGAAGAAGCACCGGCUAACUAUGUGCCAGCCGCCGCGGUAAGAC